CACAUGCUUUGGAGGCACACAGAGGACCACAGAGGCAGAGCCUCAUUUCCAGCAGGACCGUCCUCUGCCCGGUGCUAGGGAUUCCAUGGUGUCAUUCAAGAGUGCUGUGACAUUUUUUAUUUUUUUCUUUGGUAUCUAGGAAUCUGCGACUUCCCACUCUUCCUUCUCAUUCUCUGUCCACUCUUUAAGGCCUGGCUGGAGCCCUUCCCCUUCACGAAGCCCCUUUUGUCCACUCCAGCCCACACAGUCUCCCCAGUCCAUUGACAACACAGAGCACUUUUUUUGCAGCCCAUAUUCAUUUAGCCUUUAUUAUGCUCUGUUUAGGCGUCACUCUGUUUUACUCUCUAAGAGUUCCCUAGGCAUUCUUUUUCUUUCAGCAAGAUGAUAAACUUCUUGAGGACAAGGCCUUCUGCCCCGCCACCCCCCUCCUGACCUGGGGGGAUAAAUGAAGGGUUUUGGUAGCAAUCAGGGAAGCUGGCCUACUUGCUCCCUGCCUGCAUAUGUAAUGGUAGCUGAUGGUUCAAUAUUAAUGGAUACUGAAUAAGCCUGGCACCUGCUGGAGACAGCGAUGACAUUUGCUCUCACAGCAGAUGACAGGGUGACGGCAGGCAUCUCUGGGUGGAAGCGAUGAGUUCUCCAGGGGUGAUGCAGGGGUUAGACUGGGUGCUUAGGGCCCUCAAGGGGCCUCAAGGGAAUGUAGAGAAGCCUCAGGCAACCCAGGGUCAGGGGUGAGGGGACCGACCAGGAAGAGAAAAGUCCGCUCAGAAAGGGUGUAGGCUCGGACACUGUAGGAGACAGAUCCAAGAGGCUUCCUAAGUCAGACCUCUUGUCUAAAUUGGAUGGGCUGAGAGCUCUGGAGUCACUGCUUUGCAUAUGAGAUCAUGGAGACAUAGAAUCCGUCAUUAUCCCUGCCAGCUCAGCUCAGAGGACAGAACUGAGGAGGGAAGUGGUCAGGUUCAGGGUACAGGGAGAGAAGGUAGGACGUCCCCUCCAGGGCCUGGAGCUGGGGCCCACAGCCAGGCUCUGGCAUGCCUGAAAACAGGGCACAUCCCAGGUCGUCGGUAAAGACAGGUGGGAUUGAACUCAACAAUGAGGGAUUAAUAGAUUACUCUUAAAAUUGUCUUAUGGUUUAAGGAGGGAACAGAACAGAGUAGGAAGUAGGGGAGAGGAACUCAUGUGAUUUUAGCCAGGGCUUGGUUUAAGCUGUUGUGCUUCUUCUCUUGUGAUACUAGUUUGAGCCAAGGGCAGCAGGGGCUGCUCCUGGUGAGAGGACGUGGGCAGGGAUCCCAUCAGAGACAAGCCAGGCAGACACUGUCCAGAGAGUCCUCUCAGGAGGCCAGGACAGCCAGCUGCUUCUCCUUAGGGAGGAGGCCUUUGCUCCACCCUCCAUUCCUCCUCCCCUAGGCCUCUCUCCCUUUCUCCCUGUGAGAUCUUCUGCUACUCCAGCCACAGGAGGUAUAGAUCCAUUCCCAGAACAAAAACUGUCUGACUGCUCCUGAAACACUUUUUCUCCUAUGCACUACUGGCUCAUCCUCAUGCCUCCAGCUCAGCUUAGACAUCCCUCUUGAAAAGGUCUUCUCUGAGAUCCUGUGGCUCCUGGGCCCACGCCCAAGGCUGCCCCGUCACACUGGUCCCCGUAUUUUCUUCACAGCACUUAUCAUUGUCUGAAUUUAUCUCAUCCAUCUCUUCUCUUUGUUGGGUAUCUCUCUUGCUUCCUUAGAAAGGAAGCUCCAUGCAGGGUUGUGGUCAUUCUCUACCAUGUUGUGCCCCAGCUUCUAGAACAGGGCCCACAUUGACAGUGGCCAGUGAGUAUUUGUUGAAUGGAUGAGUGGGUGGAUGACAGCACAUGGGAAGGCACCAAGUCUCAAGUGAGGUGGGAUUGGAGUGGGGUCCUAGCAAACCUCCUUCUCUCUCAUCCAGGACAGAAUAGAGCUGUCCUGUGGGGGAGCUGCUCAGUGGGGAGAGGGCCUGUUGGGCCCUGGUAGAAAAUCCAUUCUGGGCCUGGGCCGGCCACUGCUUGCCCCCUGACAGCUGGUAUGCUAAGCGACCUGUGAAAUGGGAUGCAACACCAGUUUCAUUUGAGCCUGAACCCCCAGAGGCAGGGAGAAGAAGAACCAAAAAUGUGUAGUCCUGCUCCCCUACCCAGGCACAGGCCUGCUGCCCUCGAGGGCCAGACAGUGCAGAGGGGACUCUGAGAGUGGAGGAGAGAGAGGUGUGGUCCCCGACCUCUGAUGGAGUGGGAAGUGUGGUGCUGUGCACAGUGAACCUAUGGGGUUUACUAGACAGUGGCCAGUCUAGCAAUGGGCAGCAGGGAGAGAGCAGGGUUUCCAGACAGGCCUUUAGUUAGGUGCCCAGGCACAGGCAGGGCUGUCACACCUGUCUGCCCUGGCCCCUGAGCGUUUUGGGGGUUUUGGAUGGAGGCUCACCCUGACCCCUUUCCAGCUUUAGCAUGAGAGUCCCAGCCCCAUUUUCUUUCCUAGCUAACUGCACCAUCACUGCCACAUCAGAGCCCCCAACACAAUGAGGAGUUAAAGGAAGAGAGGCUACCUUGAGAUCCCCCUCUACCCGCCAGCCCACAGGGUUCCCCCACCUCAGAGUUCAGGAAAUAUUGGUAAAUGGAGGCAGGAGUGGGGUAGGGAUCCUCGGGGAAGAUCUUAAGAACUUCACCAUGGAAUUAGCUGAUGACACCGGUGUCUUCUAAGGGGUGCCUACCAUUUUUCUACACUUGCUAGGGAGCUUGUAUCUUUAUAAGAGAGAAAAUUUCUGGGCUUGGGAAAGAGGAACCCCAAGCCGACACUGGUCUGAGUGGGAAAAUUUGGGGCUGAAGUCCUUCCCGUGAAACUGUGUCUGCUGGGCAAUGCUGAGCAAAGUUCCACAAAGGAGAGAAAGGGUGGAGGAGGGCAGAUUGCCCUUCACCUACCUCUGCCUCUUCUUUGCCUGCCCAGCCUUAGCUGGGCCCCACACCACUAAUGGAAUUUCCAUCCUCAUCCCAUAGCAUCCCCAAAGAACAUUCCAGUCUGAGCCUCAAGGAACCUCUGGGACUUGGUGUCUAGAUCCAGGAAAUGGAGAAUGAGCCGUGACUUUGGAUGCUUCACCCUUGCCCAUCAGGCUCGGAAUUGGGUAGCCCGGCUCUGCAGGGACAGUCACGGAGCUGAAAAACUGCUGCCUAAUGAAGCUGUUUUCUUCUACCACUGGCUCACCCUCAAAUUAUUUCCUGAGCGAACUCAAGAACCUUCCUGGGCUAAGCCCCAAUUUUGGGGCUCGCCUGCCCUUGUAUCACAGCUUCCUCUUCUGUUCACAGCUGCAACCGCCUACUCAACCUUCUGAGGUUCCUCUCCCUGCCCCUCCACAGUGGCUGCUGAUGGGAGCUCUGGCUCCCUGCGUUUUCACUAUCUCCCAGUCAAGUGCAGAGUCCUGUGCAAUUUAAAUGCUUCUCAGCUAAGAACAGAGAAGGGGAUAGCAUAAGGAUAUUCAAAAGAUUCAAGAAAUCUCAAAAGUGAUCACAAAACAUUUGUCUCUGACCAACCAGAAACAUCGAUGGGUGAGAAGGGCAUUUCCUCUAGCUGAAUUCUUCAUGGGUCUUCAGGCUCUGUCUUCACUUUGGAUUUUCUGGAGUCUCCUGAAGGUUACCUGAAAUCUUGUUGGUCCUGAAUAUUGUAUGUGGAGUCACAAGCUGCAAGAAGUCAGUGGGGCUGGAUGGGAGCCAAAAUCAGAGAAGUCAAGCAGCACAGCUGGGCCCCAUUGAAAGUGAGGCCAGCUGUCCCAGUUGGAAGCUGGGAUGGAGAGCUGGGGAUGGGUGGAAGUAGUGACAGGGUCCGUGUAUUGGUCAUUCAGACUCCCCAGCAGCCUCAGGACUCGACUUCCAUAGGUCAGAGAAGACCUGGUGGAGGGCCUUAUGCAAACCUCAGUGGGUGAUGCAGGAGGGAGUUUUCUGAGCAGGAAUGCCAACAAAAAAGGGCUUCAAAGGAGGGCCCUGCUUGGGACAAUCCUGCCUCUUUAUGGUCUGGUUCACAGGUUCCCCUGGGUGGGGUAAUGGAAUCCAAGCUAAGGUGUCUGACUUCAAAAGUUUUCAGAAAUGCCAUUUUUGUAAGGAUCAGGGAUUGGGUUUUCUGAGAGGCAAAACAUCCUUGUUAAGGGGUUAAAGUAUCCUUAAGCUGUUCAGGUUUCUGGGGAUAGAUAGGCUUAGGAAGUUAGAGCAGGUGAAGUUGAGGGAGAUGGGAACUAAGAAUUAACUCAAAAUAGUCACCAAUGCAGAAACCCAGGCACUUGAGACCCUGACAGUGGGGAAGGCAGAGGAGUAACUGUGGGGACUUGGGCACCCUAUUAGCAGAAUGGGGUAACAGAGAGGGCAAGAAUUGCUUCCCAGGAGACUGGGCUGGGAACAGGAAGGGGACUAAAAUGCUGUCCCUGGCUGAAGAGUGUGGAGGUAUACAGGAGCUGGUGGCAGGGCUCUGAAUCCAUACACAAGAGCAAGGACCUGUGGUUUCAGGGUGGGAUAGGGCUUUGAUGUCUUCAUGGACUUAGAGUAACAUUCACCACCAUGGUGAAUUCCACAAAGGAGAAUUCACACAAAGGUCUCGGACCAGUCAGUUUCCAUGUGAAAAAGCCAUCUGGGAGCAAGGGAAAAAAUCCAGGAAUACAACUGUAUUGGGGGAAAUUCAGCCAGAUAUCAGGCAAAUUUCACCCCCGAUAUUUCACGUAGGUUCUUUUCUAUGUUCCCUAAGUGUCCGCCAGUCUGAGAAAUAAAGGGACAGAGUACAAAAGGGAGAAAUUUUAAAGCCGGGUGUCUGGGGGAGACAUCACAUGUCGGCAGGUUCCGUGAUGCCCCCUGAGCCGUAAAACCAGCAAGUUUUUAUUAGUGAUUUUCAAAAGGGGAGGGAGUAUAUGAAUAGGGUGUGGGUCACAGAAAUCACAUGCUUCACAAGGUAAUAAGAUAUCACAAGGUAAAUGGAGGCAGGGCGAGAUCACAGGACCACAGGACCGGGGCGAAAUUAAAAUUGCUAAUGAAGUUUUGGGCACGCAUUGUCAUUGAUAACAUCUUACCAGGAGACAGGGUUUGAGAGCAGACAACCGGUCUGACCAAAAUUUAUUAGGCGGGAAUUUCCUCAUCCUAAUAAGCCUGGGAGCGCUAUGGGAGACUGGGGCUUAUUUCACCCCUACAGCUUCGACCAUAAAAGACGGCUGCCCCCUGAAGCGGCCAUUUCAGAGGCCUACCCUCAGGGACUCAUUCUCUUUCUCAGGGAUGUUCCUUGUUGAGCAAAAUAAUUUAGUGAUAUUUCUCCCAUUUGCUUUUGAAAGAAGAGAAAUAUGGCUCUGUUCUGCCCGGCUCAUCGGCAGUCAGAGUUUAAGGUUAUCUCUCUUGCUCUCUGAACAUUGCUGUUAUCCUGUUCUUUUUUCAAGGCUCCCAGAUUUCAUAUUGUUCAAACACACAUGCUCUACAAACAAUCUGUGCAGUUAACGCAAUCAUCACAGGGUCCUGAGGUGAGAUACAUCCUCCUCAGCUUACAAAGAUGACGGGAUUAAGAGAUUAAAGUAAAGACAGGCAUAGGAAAUCACAAGGGUAUUGAUUGGGGAAGUGAUAAGUGUCCAUGAAAUCUUCACAACUUAUGUUCAGAGAUUGCAGUAAAGACAGGCGUAAGAAAUUAUCAAAGUAUUAAUUUGGGGAACCAAUAAAUGUCCAUGAAAUCUUCACAACUCCACAAUUAUUCUGCCAUGGCUCCAGCCGGCCCCUCCAUUCGGGGUUCCUGACUUCCUGCAACACAACUGGAGGGAAAGGUGGCCUGACAUUAUGGCUAAGUUGAUAUGGAAGCAUUCUGGUUUGUUCUAGAAAAAAUGAAAGAGGUAGUGCAGGUAAUCAUCAGCUCCUGGGUUCUGUAGCAAGGCAUUUGCUGCAAUCCCAGGAGGUAGCAACCUAGGCUUUGGUUCUGAAAGAAGAGGGUCUACCUUCCUGAAUCAUCUUUAGAAGUCUGCUGGGGGCCAGGCUUGGUAAGUUGGACUCUGUAUGGAAUUUUUAUUUAAGUGAGGUCUGGGUAGGAAAAGAGAAGGGAAAAGGUGACCUGACCCUGCCUGCACCAAGGGAUUCUGGGAAGGAGAAUAAAGAGAAAAACCCUUCUUCAGGUUUCUGCUUCAGAGCAGGAGAACCAUCACAAGCUAAGUAAAGUUAAUGAAGGGUAAGUGGCCCUAUGGCCACCUGGGCACGCACCUGCCCCUUGGCCACCUUGCAUGGGCAGGCUGAAGAGGUCACUAAGGCUUGGUUUUCCUGACCUGCCCUGAUUCCAUGUGCUGUAAGCAGGACCCAGAAGGCUGUGUGGCUACAGAGGUGCCCAGCAUGGUGGGGGUCACUUCAGUGUGGACACUAGACUGGAUCGCGUGGAACUACAACCAGCUCAGAGCGCCAGCCAGAGUGCUGUUCCGGCCAGAAGGAGGAGCCACGACCCACACUCAGAAGGACAGUGAGCCCCUCUCUGCAGACAGGAGCCAGCCACACCUGGGGUCUGGGGAGGCUCUUCCUGAUUCCAAAUGGAACUGAACUUUAAACCAGACUGGGCAUUUGAGCAAUUUUUUAAAAGCUGUCAACCAAAUAAAGGAAUGCCAUAUUCUUUACCCAGUCA
rnacentral:lncRNA from 1 species